rnacentral:rRNA from 1 species
GCAUCGAUGAAGAACGCAGCGAAAUGCGAUAAGUAAUGUGAAUUGCAGAAUUCAGUGAAUCAUCGAAUCUUUGAACGCACAUUGCGCCCGCCAGUAUUCUGGCGGGCAUGCCUGUUCGAGCGUCAUUUCAACCAUCAAGCCCCAGGCUUGUGUUGGGGACCUGCGGCUGCCGCAGGCCCUGAAAAACAGUGGCGGGCCCGCUAGUCACACCGAGCGUAGUAGCAUACACAUCGCUUAGGACGUGCUGCGGGUUCCGGCCGUUAAACCCCCCACUAUAUCAAGGUUGACCUCGGAUCAGGUAGGAAGACCCGCUGAACUUAAGCAUAUCAAUAAGCGGAGGA